rnacentral:rRNA from 1 species
AGAGUUUGAUCCUGGCUCAGAACGAACGCUGGCGGCAGGCUUAACACAUGCAAGUUGAACGAGAGUGUUAGAUAGCUUGCUAUUUAGCAUGAAAGUAGCGCACUGGUGAGUAACACGUGGGAACGUACCUAUAGGUGGGGGAUAACGUUUGGAAACGAACGCUAAUACCGCAUACGCCCUGAGGGGGAAAGAUUUAUUGCCGAUAGAUCGGCCCGCGGAAGAUUAGGUAGUUGGUGGGGUAAAGGCCUACCAAGCCGACGAUCUAUAGCUGGUCUGAGAGGACGAUCAGCCACAUUGGAACUGAGACACGGUCCAGACUCCUACGGGAGGCAGCAGUGAGGAAUAUUGGGCAAUGGAGGCAACUCUGACCCAGCCAUGCCGCGUGAGUGAAGAAGGUUUUCGGAUUGUAAAGCUCUUUCGCACGGGACGAUGAUGACGGUACCGUGAUAAGAAGCCCCGGCUAACUUCGUGCCAGCAGCCGCGGUAAUACGAAGGGGGCAAGCGUUGUUCGGAAUUACUGGGCGUAAAGGGAGUGUAGGCGGUUUAGUAAGAUAGCGGUGAAAUGCCGGGGCUCAACCUCGGAAUUGCCGUUAUAACUAUUGAACUAGAAUGAUAGAGAGGAUAGCGGAAUACCCAGUGUAGAGGUGAAAUUCGUAGAUAUUGGGUAGAACACCGGUGGCGAAGGCGGCUAUCUGGCUAUAAAUUGACGCUGAGGCUCGAAAGCAUGGGGAUCAAACAGGAUUAGAUACCCUGGUAGUCCAUGCUGUAAACGAUGAAUGCUGGUUGUCGGACUGAUGUUCGGUGACGAAGUUAACGCGAUAAGCAUUCCGCCUGGGGAGUACGGUCGCAAGAUUAAAACUCAAAGGAAUUGACGGGGACCCGCACAAGCGGUGGA